UGUGAUGGCUGCUGUUGUUUUAUUUUUUAAACUGCAAUAUUUGAAAAUUUGUCUCCUGGAUACAUUUCACAAAGAUGACAUUUAUGAAAAUGGAAAGGGAAACAAAAAUAAUGCUAAAUUAAAGCCGCUUUUAGGUAAAGCUACUAUCGACACGUAUAUGAAAAAUAUCAAUGAUGGACAUGAGAAAAAGUCCUUGAAUAGUAUCAACACUACUGAAACUAAGCCGUCUGUGGAAAAAAAGAAUGAGUUGGGGACAUCAUAUACAUGUAUCAACAUAUUUGUGGAAAACGAAACGUGUAGCUCUAAAGCUGUGUGAAUGGUUAAAUUUGAUACUCAAGAUCUGACUUCAGCUAC